UUCCAGAAGAUCAGGCCCACGUUCUUCCACAGUGCCCGGGACAGCAAACAUUUUUUCAUCUCGACAAAGGGGGAAAAAAUAUAUAAUCCUUCAAAUGACCUGGCAAGGUUCCACCACAGAUUUAAUCUGACGCCUGUGACAAGCCAGGAAAUCCGCCGUGUCACGGAAUCUUCUCUGCCAUCUAGGUGUGCAGCUGAUAUGGUGAGGGCAAUUGCAAGGUAUAUGGGACACUCAGAAACCACCGCGCAGAGGCUCUACAGGAAAAAAAUAAACGAUCUCAUGAUGGAAUCUAGAAGGGUGAACAUCCUGGGAUCUGAGGAAGAACCUCAGGCAUCAACAUCAAGAGACGUUGAAGCAAUAAGAAGAAAAAAAAGGACAAGGGAUGAUAAUGAAGAUGAGGAUGAAUAUAGAGUCGGCAGAUAAGAACCACUUGGCCCAUCUAGUCUGCCCUUUUUUUUUAACCAUAUUUUUAUCUCAAAAUUUAUUUGAUCAUUAUAUCUUUGUAAGGAUAUCCUUAUGUCUAUCCCAUUCAUGUAUAUAUAUUGCCAUACUGUCUUAGCCUCUACCACCUCUGAUGGGAGGCUAUUCCACUUGUCCACUACCCCUUCUCAUUUUUCCUCAAAUUUCCCCUGAACCUAUUAACCAUUCAAAGAAGAAAUCUAACAUGAAGCCCUCAUGUGUCUCCUUUCUGAUAGGGCAACUCCUACAUUAUUACUGGGGGCCACAAAGGACAUCAGGACUAGGGAGGAACUUCUCUUUAAUUAUGGUGCUAAUAAGCCAUCUUUUGGGGGGGAAGGAGCAGAAUUGUCAUGGCUAGAUGAAUAGUUUGUGUGGAGUUUACUGGUAUAAAAAAAACAUUUAUUUAUUUUCUUCAAAAUUUAUAUUUUGUAAAAUGUAUCUAUAAACAGUUG